CACGUAGGGUGCGAGCGUUGUCCGGAAUUAUUGGGCGUAAAGAGCUCGUAGGCGGUGUGUCGCGUCGGCCGUGAAAACCUGCAGCUUAACUGUGGGCGUGCGGUCGAUACGGGCAUCACUGGAGUUCGGCAGGGGAGACUGGAAUUCCUGGUGUAGCGGUGAAAUGCGCAGAUAUCAGGAGGAACACCGGUGGCGAAGGCGGGGUCUCUGGGCCGAUACUGACGCUGAGGAGCGAAAGCGUGGGGGAGCGAACAGG
rnacentral:rRNA from 1 species